UUAUCCAACGUGGAUUAUAUUUAUCCAACGUGGAUAAUAUUUAUCCAACGUGGAUAAUAUUUAUCCACCGUGGAUAAUAUUUAUCCAACGUGGAUAAUAUUUA
rnacentral:ncRNA from 1 species